GCAAAGGGGCCCAGGUGCAUAGGCGGGACUCAGGCAGAGAUGUUGCUGGCGCCGGUCUCCACGGACAGGAAAGGCCCCGGGCCCAGCCCAGCUCCUAAGCAGCAUCGGUCUGGGGCCCGGCUGGGACUGUCCAGCGGGCCAGGCAGCAACAAAGACGCAUCUCUCCCUGGGGCAGGGGUUUUCUGUGAGGAAGAAGGGAGCACCCUAUGCCUUCCUGUCUGCCAACGCAGAGCCCCUUCUGAGGAAACCUCCUCGGGAGCCCUCCAGGACUGACUCCUGAGGGCCGCAGUCCCCGGCCCCUUAGGCCCUCCGCGACUUAACUGGGCCAUGCCCCUUUGCAGUGGAAUAUUCUGUCUGAUGCCCUGUCCCCACCCCACUCGAACAUGCAAUUCGCCAGGGUUUCCAGUCUCAGCUCCUUGCGGCACCUCGCGUUUUGCAAAGUUGUUUCAUCACCAGCGUGUGCUUCUAUCUUCAGGACAGCUCCCCGAGGUGGCAAACAGCACGCCCAUGUUACAGAGGCGGAAGCUGGGAGCAAAGAGAGUAAGCCGCGUGUGCCGGCGUUCCAGAAGCAGACCUUCUGAUCUCAGACUCUUCCUUUUCAAGGAAGUCCCAACUCCUAUCUCCUACCUGGCUCUGAACCCAAGGUGUGUCUAAGAUGGCCAGGGACGCCAGAACAGCCAGGGAGAAGAGUGAAGGUGAAAACAGUAAACGACUUAGAAGUACUUUUUUCUACCUCGUUGGGGUUUACUUUGGUGACUGAAAAUCAAGGGUCUCAGGACGCUGUUUGCAAGGCUUAUGCUGAAAACGUGCGUGGGGGCACCUGGAUGGCUCAGUCGGUUAAGCGUCGGACUCUUGAUUUCGGCUCAGGUCGUGAUCUCACGGUUCGUGGGUUCGAGCCCCGCAUGAGGCUCUGUGCUGACAACGUGGCGCCU